UACGAAGGGGGCUAGCGUUGCUCGGAAUCACUGGGCGUAAAGGGCGCGUAGGCGGCGUUUUAAGUCGGGGGUGAAAGCCUGUGGCUCAACCACAGAAUGGCCUUCGAUACUGGGACGCUUGAGUAUGGUAGAGGUUGGUGGAACUGCGAGUGUAGAGGUGAAAUUCGUAGAUAUUCGCAAGAACACCGGUGGCGAAGGCGGCCAACUGGACCAUUACUGACGCUGAGGCGCGAAGCGUGGGGAGCAAACAGG
rnacentral:rRNA from 1 species